rnacentral:rRNA from 1 species
AGUGAACGCUGGCGGUAGGCCUAACACAUGCAAGUCGAACGGCAGCACAGUAAGAGCUCGCUCUUACGGGUGGCGAGUGGCGGACGGGUGAGGUAUACAUCGGAAUCUACUUUUUCGUGGGGGAUAACGUAGGGAAACUUACGCUAAUACCGCAUACGACCUACGGGUGAAAGCAGGGGAUCUUCGGACCUUGCGCGAUUGAAUGAGCCGAUGUCGGAUUAGCUAGUUGGCGGGGUAAAGGCCCACCAAGGCGACGAUCCGUAGCUGGUCUGAGAGGAUUAUGAGCCACACUUGAACUGAGAAACGGGCCCGACGCCUAAGGGAAGGCGCAAGUGGGAAUAGUGGACCAUGGGCGCAAGCCUGAUCCAGCCAUACCGCGUGGGUGAAGAAGGCCUUCGGGUUGUAAAGCCCUUUUGUUGGGAAAGAAAAGCAGCAGGUUAAUACCCCGCUGUUCUGACGGUACCCAAAGAAUAAGCACCGGCUAACUUCGUG